CCGUGUACGUUUUGAUAGUUUGUUUUUUCGAUUGAAACACAAAACAAAAUAACGAGAAACCACCCGUUUUUCGUUUGUCGUUUCAAACCAAAAUCAAAGAAACGGUAAAAAAAGAGCCGUUCUCCCGUUUUUGAUUCUGAAUCUAAAAACGAAAAAUGACAAAACCAAAAUCAAAUAACGGUCCGAUUUUGUUUUUUUGAAAUUCCUUUUUCCAUUUUUUCGUUUGAAGAUCUACAUUGAAAUACAGACAGGUUGGCCACGUGACCCGGAAGUAAUAGUAAAUAUGGCCUAUCAAAAUAAAAGCCAAGCUUUUAGAACGGUCAUAUUAUGCAGCGCUAACGUUAUACCAGAGUAACGUUAGAAGAAAAAUCUAUUAAUAAAUAGCCUUAUAUAAACCUGGACCGGAAUAAAUAUGUUAGCAACAGUAGUUUAUUACAGCUAUUUAAUAUCGUGCCUAUCCAGACAUCACCAGUCACGUUUAAUGAGCACAUUGUUUGGCUCAAUACAGUUGGUAAUAUAGGUUAACCUAAGAACUUAUUGUGUGUGCAGAGUUGUUACUGUUAGCGCUAUAUUAUAUAAUUAAAUUUAUAUUUAAUGUGGUUUCCACCGUAAUGAAUAACUGUUCCCCCUUUCUACCAGCAGGUGGCAGUAUUUAAAUGACUGACUGUAUGGUGUCUUUGGUAACUGUUUUAAAUCAAGAUUACUGAUACAGAUGUAUUUAUUGUUGUUCAUUGUAUUUUGUUUUUAUUUGCCUAGUUAUCAUCAUCAUCAUCAUCAUUCACCCAGCCCAGAGUUAAACCUGCUUCUGUUUUAACCUGAUUAUAACACUGCACUGCUAUCAGCUUCUUAUAGCAGCUCAGACAACAAACUCACAUCAGACAUGUCCUAAUCCUAAUGUAGGCCAUCUAGCCAAAAUAAUGAUUUACCAGUGUGCUAUAUACUUUGUGAAUCUUUCUUCUCUAUACACAUUCCAGUUUGUAUAACAUACAAAACUCUGAUUGUGUCAUGCCAGUGAAGAGAAUCCAUAAAAGUCUUAAAAUUUACAUAGCACAUACAUGCUUUCAAGGGCAUUGCAUGUACAAUCAAUGGCUGCAGAACAUUUGUUAAGCCCUAAGGUAAGAACAUUUUACAAGGUCCUCAAAAGAAAACCCCAAAACAUAAUUACAUUACUAAAAACAGGCUGUCAACGCUGAUUACAUCAGCAAUAACUGCAACAAAACGUUUCCAGUAACUUUUGAUAUGUCCUGCUUAUUGACUUGGACGAAUCUUUACCCAUUCCUCUGUACAGAACAGCUUCAACUCUUGGAUGUUGGUGGGUUUCCUCACAUGAGCUGCUUGCUUCCUCAUCCUUCCACAACAUUUCAAUCAUUUUAAGGUCAUAACUUUUGACUCUGCCUUUCCAAAACAUUCACUUUAUUCUUCUUUAAGGUAGGUGGGUAUACUUUGUCACAAUAUAAUAUAUAUAAUAGUAUAAAGUAUAAAUUGAGUUUGUAUCUCCCUUCUGGUACAUAGCAGACAUUAUCAGGCUAAUAUAGAAGCAAUUAUAAAAAUGGUAAACAUAAAUAAACUAUGAUCAGUGGAGCAGUGCUGAGGAUGAACUAUAGUUUAAGAGUCUGAUAGCUUGGGGGGAAAUGUUGCUCUGCAGUUGGUGCGGCAGCAGAAACUUCUAUAUCUCUUCCCAGAAGGCAGCAGGAUGAACAGGCUGUGGCUGGAUGUGAUGGAAAACCCAGUUGUGGCACCGUGCUGCCGCAGCCUCGUUGGAUGCCGGGUCUGCGUUGAGCAGUGGGCAACUACCUCGCCGCACUGCCCAAAAUGCAGGGACGAGAUGUUCCAAGAAAAAAAAAAUUUAAAUUACAGGGAUGGGGGAGAUUGUGAAUGUUUUGAAAGACACUAUUAGUUAGGAGAUUGUUUUAGUUAGUUUUUAUUUUAGGUUUAGGUUUUAAGUUAAGUCAAAUGGUUAAGUUUGGUUAUGUUCAUCUGUUAUGUUAUUUUAUGCAAUUAAUAAAUUGUUCAAUUUUA